AUUGAACGCUGGCGGCAGGCCUAACACAUGCAAGUCGAACGAGUGGCGGACGGGUGAGUAAUGUCUGGGAAACUGCCCGAUGGAGGGGGAUAACUACUGGAAACGGUAGCUAAUACCGCAUACCAUCAGAUGUGCCCAUAUGGGAUUAGCUAGUAGGUGGGGUAACGGCUCACCUAGGCGCCGAUCCCUAGCUGGUCUGAGAGGAUGACCAGUCACACUGGAACUGAGACACGGUCCAGACUCCUACGGGAGGCAGCAGUGGGGAAUAUUGGACAAUGGGCGAAAGCCUGAUGCAGCCAUGCCGCGUGUAUGAAGAAGGCCUUCGGGUUGUAAAGUACUUUAAGUGAGGAGGCGUUACUCGCAGAAGAAGCACCGGCUAACUCCGUGCCAGCAGCCGCGGUAAUAC
rnacentral:rRNA from 1 species